AAAGUUUUAAGUUAAUUAAACUAAUAGCCUUCAAAGCUAUAAAUAUAAUAUAAAUUAUAAACUUUG
rnacentral:tRNA from 1 species